rnacentral:tRNA from 1 species
AGCAAUAGUUCAAUGGUAGAACAUGCACUUGCAAGAGUAGAUCCCAGGUUCGAAUCCG